rnacentral:tRNA from 1 species
UCCCUCUUAGCUCAGUGGUAGAGCGCGUCACUAGUAUGCUGUGGUACACAUGACGAGGUCAGUCGUUCAAGUCGGCUAGAGGGAA